rnacentral:rRNA from 1 species
GAGUUUGAUCGUGGCUCAGAACGAACGCUGGCGGCGUGGAUAAGACAUGCAAGUCGAACGGGAGAGUUGCUAGCUUGCUAAUAAUUCUCUAGUGGCGCACGGGUGAGUAACACGUGAGUAACCUGCCCCCGAGAGCGGGAUAGCCCUGGGAAACUGGGAUUAAUACCGCAUAGUAUCGAAAGAUUAAAGCAGCAAUGCGCUUGGGGAUGGGCUCGCGGCCUAUUAGUUAGUUGGUGAGGUAACGGCUCACCAAGGCGAUGACGGGUAGCCGGUCUGAGAGGAUGUCCGGCCACACUGGAACUGAGACACGGUCCAGACACCUACGGGUGGCAGCAGUCGAGAAUCAUUCACAAUGGGGGAAACCCUGAUGGUGCGACGCCGCGUGGGGGAAUGAAGGUCUUCGGAUUGUAAACCCCUGUCAUGUGGGAGCAAAUUAAAAAGAUAGUACCACAAGAGGAAGAGACGGCUAACUCUGUGCCAGCAGCCGCCGCAGUAAG